rnacentral:lncRNA from 1 species
CUAGUUACACCAGGAUUGAUAAGCCUUUCAUCACCAGUGGUGCAGUUGGAGAAUUUUUUCAUUUAUUUGAACUGGAAUCCAGUUCCUUCUGGAGCAUGUUCUGUUACAUAUAAUAUAGAAUUUAUUAACAACACCAAUCAGAUUGUCAAUCAGUUUUCUGAGAUUAAUACAACAUCAUUUUCAGCAGCUAACAAUGCUAAUGCAACAUAUUUUAGAAUAUAUGCUGUUUAUAAUGGUACACCAGGAAUUGCGUUUAAUCAAACUAUACCUAAUCCACAAUCAACUACUACAACUACAACAACAGCAGUUAAAAUAACCAUUCCAAGUUUAAAACCAGAAAUCAGUGCACGACAAGCAAACACUGGUUUAGGGACAGGAGUAGUAAUUGGAAUUGCAGUUGGUGCUGUUGUUUUUAUUCUUCUAAUUGGCAUCAUUAUUGUAGUUAUUGUCAAAAAAAAAACUUCUUCAUCAUCUAAGAACCAAAAUAA